rnacentral:rRNA from 1 species
CAGUCGCCGCGGGAAUACGUAGGGUGCAAGCGUUAAUCGGAAUUACUGGGCGUAAAGCGUGCGCAGGCGGUUUGUUAAGACAGAUGUGAAAUCCCCGGGCUCAACCUGGGAACUGCAUUUGUGACUGGCAAGCUAGAGUGUGGCAGAGGGGGGUGGAAUUCCGCGUGUAGCAGUGAAAUGCGUAGAUAUGCGGAGGAACACCGAUGGCGAAGGCAGCCCCCUGGGCCAACACUGACGCUCAUGCACGAAAGCGUGGGGAGCAAACAGGAUUAGAUACCCGUGUAGUCCCUGUCUCUUAUAC